UCCCUUUCGCAGGCGCUCGCAAUACCCUAUAUACCCUCCUGUCGGGCAACCGACUAUGGCGAUAAACGGUGCGUGGAAUAAGCGUAGUGGACCCGGGGGCAGUACCCGGCGCCUCCACCAUUUCUCUCCGCGAAUUUCUCUCGUUCGCGGAUUAAUGGGGGCGAAACAGGCUCGACACGCGCGGUAAAGACCCAUCUUUCGCUCGGCAUUGUACCGCCGUUAUCGGGCUAUAUCACAAGUGCCAACGAUAACUUCGAGGCAUUCGCUAUCGCUGCAUAAGCGAUAAGCGCGGUUGGGGGGGCACCGGGCAACAGAAGCCCCCCGCU
rnacentral:tmRNA from 3 species